rnacentral:lncRNA from 1 species
UUCAUGAUGGUUCUGUUGUAUGAUACAACAUUGGCAGAGCCCUGUAAUUGAUGCCCUACUCAACUGUUGCAGGUGGUAUGCUUCAACUGAUUCAAGAAAGACAAUACAAUCUGGCACUCAUGCACCAAAUAAUUGCCAUGUUUUGACUGGUCCCCUGGGUGUGACAAGGAUUUGAAUUUCAUUCUGUCAUGGAUUAUUUCCAAUUGGUAUGGCGUUACUUGUUUUUUUUUGUACAACCUGGUUGGUUGGUUUCUUGUAGGUAAAUUGUUGUUGUUGAUUCAUGCAAUGGUCUUGGUAAUUCAAUGGCAAGUUUUUGUGGUUUUAGUUCCAUGGUAAGUCAACACACUUCGUGCUUGGCAUUGAUG